CCACUCACUCUGGUCACAGGGGCGGCACAGCUGGCAGAUGGACAGAUGGUUCCAGUGCUCGUUGUACGAAUUUUCGGGACAUGUGGCACAAACUGUGUUCUGGCCACGGGUACAUUCAGCUGAGACAUGCGUGCCUAGGAUCUCUCCUGGGAGAUGGUGUCCAUCUUCCCUCCGAGGCAGCGAGGUGGACUGGAGGCCCCUGCAGACCCCUCCCUGUCUCAGCCUUCUUGGGGACGUCACCUCUUACCUGGGGGGCAGCGGGAGCAGCAGACCUGAUGCUUGGCCUCGUAGUACUCCUUUUCCUCAUCCUGGCAGAUCAAUGAAUUUUCACCCUUGUAUAUUCCCGUGCAUCUCCCCACAUUUCCUGCACCCCAAGAGUUUCCUGCAUGCCCUUUCUGGUCGAAGAUCCUUGCUUCACAGCUUCCUUGAAAUCUCACUGAUAUCCACUGGGCAACACCAGACCCGGCUGAGCGCCUCGUAGACUCGCAGAAUGUGUGGGAGCCGGCUCUUCUCCAGGCCUUCUUCAGAGGGGAUUGCUGAGACAGCCUUCUUCCCAGAGGCCCAGGAAGAAUCCAAAAAGGGGGUUGCUGGGAGUGGAUUCUUCUAAAUAUUCUUUUUGUCUCUCCUCUUCCCCACACUGCUCUUAGCCAACCGGUGCCCUGGGAAAGGGUCUGGUGAACACUGACAAAUGUGGACCUGAUGAGGGUCGACUUUCUCCAGAGUGUUUGCACUUUCACUGGGGACAACCUCUUAGUCCAGGCGUCUCAGCUGGCGUGAUUUUACUCCCCGGAGACAUUUGGCAAUAUCUGGAGGAGUUUCUGAUUGUCACAAUUCAGGGGGUACUAUUGGCAUCUAGUCAGUGGGGGCCAGGGAUAGGCACAGGAAUCCUGCCUUAGCCUGAAGGAGUAGACUGCCAGUGGUGAGCUUCUAAGCAUCCUGCAGUGACCGGGCUGGAGCGGCCGGGAGGGGUUUUCUGGUACAUCGUUUUAGGUUAAGGAGAAAUUCAUACGAUAUAAGUGCAGAGAAAAAGAUCACGGUUUUCCACAGUGGGCAGCCCAGUGUGGAGAGGCUAAUUAGUUCUAAGUGGUAAGAAUAAACUGACUGACUUUGAGUGACUCAUUUUUACCCUAGAAAGGAUAGAGACUGAAAUGGAAAAAGUGAAGGAAAUUUAGAUAAAUCAAUAGACCACAAAUUAAUGGGUUAUUAGAGGAAAUUAGGAUGCUUGAUGCUUUGGGGAUAUUUUCUCAUAGCACAUCACUCUCUGUCAAAGAUUAACCUUGGGUCUUACCCAAGAUGCCAAUUCUGCUGUCUUCUGCAGCGUGGGUCAACAUAUGGAGACCACUAGACAGUGGGGCCACCAAGACGAAUAAGCCUAGUGCUGGUCCUCAGAGAACUUGUGUUACAAUCUGCGCAUAUGUAAACACGCACAGAUGCACAGACACACCCCCCAGGAUAAUAACAGUACACAGCUGUAAGUGCUGCUGUCAAGUACACAAGGCUCUUGCCGGGAGCGUGGAGGAGAAAGUGAAUCCUUCCGUGGUCCCCUGUUCCCCAGAGAGCAAAAGGCAGGAAGACCCUUUGAACCCAUAACCCUCAUCCCUCUGGCUUCCCUUCUCUCCCUGGAGCCUCUGCACAGUUUAUGGCCACACCACAGGGUGAGAGGAUGGCUGGUGUUGGGCGGGGGGAGGCAGCCCCAGGUAGGAAAGAAGGGCUAGGGCUCUGGGAGAUGCGAGGGGUGAGAGGGGUUCCAAGACAAGCUCUCAAGGCCCUGGAUCCCCCACAGAACCGGACUCCACUUCUCUGGACCUCAGGGGAGCAGCACUGAGCUUGGAAAGGGGAGCCUCAGCUCUCAGUCUGGCCCCACCCCUAACCCCUGGGUGACUGUGGGCAAGUCACUGCCUCUCCGGCGGCCUCAGUUCCCUCAUGCGUUAAACAUGGGGCGAGAUGCAGAGUCAGAUGGAAAGGGCCUUUGCAACCUUCUGGGCUGCCUUACCCACCCCUCCUGCCCUUUCAUUUUUCAGAUGAGAGCACUGGGCCCAGAGCGGUAAAAUGCCUUUUUCAAAGUCACAUCGAUUAAAAGCAAAAAUGAAAGUCAUAGAAUAAUAUCUAUUACAUGGACCAUUUAUGAAAAAAGCAAUAAAUUUUGUUUUUUUAAAAAUACAUGUAAGUCUAUAAAAACACACAAAAAGAUACAGAUGGAUACAAGGAUUACAGUGGCUCCCCUGGGCCGAGGGGUGGGAGAGGAAUGGGACAAAGCGAGGCUUUUAUUGUGCUGUACACUUCUGUAGUGUUGGAAAAUUGUAUCGUGACAAACAGGUAUUUGGGUAUUAUUUCUGCACCUUAAAACAUAAUCUUUAAAAUGGAGCUCUGACAAAAGUGCAGUUCUUUGGGGGCCGGCCAGGUGGCAUAGUGGUUAAGUUCCUGCUCUCCGCUUCAGCGGCUCAGGGUUUGCCGGUUCAGAUCCUGGGCACAGACGUACACACGGCUCAUCAGGCCAUGCUGUGGUGGCGU